AUGAUGUUAAUUCCCUUAAAAAAGCUAUUAAUGACUUUGGUGUUUUGUCGUCAGCAAAAAUUAACUGGGGAAAAAGUGAAGCACUAGCCGUGGGUGAUGAGCUGAGCAAAGAGCUUGUCUUACCUGGUGGGUUAGUGUGGAAAAAAGAUGGUUUAAAAUACCUUGGUGUCUAUCUUGGUGAUAACUCAUUUGUGUGUAAAAAUUGGGAAAAUGUUUUUGAGAAAGUUUAAGGACGCUUAAGAAAAUGGAAAUGGCUUUUGCCACACAUGUCCUUUAGAGGACGGACUUUAAUCAUAAACAACUUGGUGGCCUCUAUGUUGUGGCACCGUCUGACUUGUGUGGAACCUCCAACACAACUGCUUAAUAAAAUACAGUCAGUACUUGUAGACUUCUUCUGGGAUCGUCUGCACUGGGUCCCUCAAAGUGUUCUUUUUCUGUCAAAGGAAGAUGGAGGACAAGGUCUUAUUCAUCUUGCAAGUAGAGGGGCUGCCUUUCGACUCCAGUUUAUUCAAAGAUUCCUUACUGGACCUGCACACCUUGUUUGGAGACCUUUGGCUCGGACAAUACUGGGCCGAGGAGGAGAUCUGGGUCUCGCUGAGUCUUUGUUUUUGAUGGACUUAAAUGCCUCGAAAAUAAGCAAUCUCCCUAAAUUCUAUCUUGGACUAUUCACAGUGUGGGGGCUGUUUAUUAAACAGAGAGCAGAAAACUGCACUUCCCUUUCGUGGCUGCUGAAAGAGCCAAUUAUAUAUGGAUCCCGCUUUAAUGUUGAGCGUACAACAGGACAUUCUGUGCUACAGCUUUUCCGUUCUGCUGGGGUAGUGACUCUGGGACAUGUAGUUAACAUAUGUGGACCCAAUUUAACUGAUUCUGAUGGUCUGGCUUCUCAUGUGAGAGUUAGAUCCACCAGGCUUUUGAAUCAGAUGCUUAAGGCUAUGAAUUGUGAACUCACAGAAAUUGAACUCUCUUUAUUAAAGAGUCCCUGUAAUGAUUUUUGUCAAUCAAAUGUUGAAGACCCUUUUCCUGUUUUGUCACUUUCUCCUGAUUUUAAAAACUGUACUGGUCAACUGUUAAAGCUCAGUGAGACUCUCACUAAUGAGUUGGAUGUUAUGGAGGGCAAAACAAUGUAUAACAUACUUGUUAAAAUUUUGAACAAAAACAAACUAAAUGGUCGAGCUGAUACUCCUUGGAGAGCUCAUUUAAAGGUUAACAGUGAAAUCAGACCUGUGUGGAGAACGAUCUAUAAACCACCGUUGACAAAAAAGAUUGGAGAUUUACAGUGGAAAGUAUUGCAUGGCUGUGUGGCUGUAAAUGCUUUUGUUUCUGUUAUUAACCCUAAUGUUAACGAUAACUGUCCCUUUUGCUUAAACAGAGAAACAGUCUUUCAUUGCUUUUUGGAGUGUGAUAGAUUGUCUUUUUUAUUUGAGCUGUUACAGCAAAUGUUCCAAUUGUUUGGAGAAGUUUUUUCUAAACAAGACUUCAUCUUUGGCUUCAGGUACAAUCAAAAGGGUAGAAUGAAAUGCCAAUUGUUUAACUUUCUCUUUGGACAAGCAAAAAUGGCCAUUUACAUUAGCCGAAGAAAUAAGACAGAGGGGUCUUUGGACUCUGAUGCAAAUACAAUUUUUGUGAGAAUGUUAAAAGCCAGAUUGAAGAUUGAUUUUGAUUUUUACAGCAUCACAAAUAAUGUGGAGGAAUUCCUGCACAUUUGGGGUUACGAAAAUGUCUUGUGCUCGGUUGUGGAAAAUGUUUUGUGUUUUGGAAAUCUAUUGGUUUGAGUAUAUUUUGUGUUGUGUAUUUUUGUAUAUAUAUAUUUAUUUUAUUUUUGUUUUUUAGCCUGUGUGGUUUAUAAUUACCACUAAUGGUAUUCUUUUGAUAAAAUAAAGUGAUUCAAAAUCAAAAAAUC
ensembl:lncRNA